rnacentral:rRNA from 1 species
UACGGAGGAUGCGAGCGUUAUCCGGAUUUAUUGGGUUUAAAGGGUGCGUAGGCGGAUUUUUAAGUCAGCGGUAAAAUGUCCGGGCUCAACCCGGGCCGGCCGUUGAAACUGGGGAUCUUGAGUGGGCGAGAAGUAUGCGGAAUGCGUGGUGUAGCGGUGAAAUGCAUAGAUAUCACGCAGAACUCCGAUUGCGAAGGCGGCAUACCGGCGCCCGACUGACGCUGAGGCACGAAAGCGUGGGGAUCGAACAGG